rnacentral:rRNA from 1 species
UACGUAGGGACCAAGCGUUGUUCGGAUUUACUGGGCGUAAAGGGCGCGUAGGCGGCUCGGUAAGUCAGUUGUGAAAUCUCUGAGCUUAACUCAGAACGGCCAAGUGAUACUGCAGUGCUAGAGUGUGGAAGGGGCAAUCGGAAUUCUUGGUGUAGCGGUGAAAUGCGUAGAUAUCAAGAGGAACACCUGAGGUGAAGGCGGGUUGCUGGGCCAACACUGACGCUGAGGCGCGAAAGCCAGGGGAGCAAACGGG